AUGCAGGCAUGAGUAGCGAUAAUUAAUGUGAGAAUCAUUAACGCCGUAAACCCAAGGUUUCCUACGCGAUGCUCGUCAUCGUAGGGUUAGUCGGGUCCUAAGUCGAGUCCGAAAGGGGUAGACGAUGGCAAAUUGGUUAAUAUUCCAAUACCAACAUUAGUGUGCGAUGGAAGGACGCUUAGGGCUAAGGGGGCUAGCGGAUGGAAGUGCUAGUCUAAGGUCGUAGGAGGUUAUACAGGCAAAUCCGUAUAACAAUACUCCGAGAACUGAAAGGCUUUUUGAAGUCUUCGGAUGGAUAGAAGAACCCCUGAUGCCGUCGAGCCAAGAAAAGUUUCUAAGUUUAGCUAAUGUUGCCCGUACCGUAAACCGACACAGGUGGGUGGGAUGAGUAUUCUAAGGCGCGUGGAAGAACUCUCUUUAAGGAACUCUGCAAAAUAGCACCGUAUCUUCGGUAUAAGGUGUGGUUAGCUUUGUAUUAGGAUUUACUCCGAAAGCAAGGAAACUUACAACAAAGAGUCCCUCCCGACUGUUUACCAAAAACACAGCACUCUGCUAACUCGUAAGAGGAUGUAUAGGGUGUGACGCCUGCCCGGUGCUCGAAGGUUAAUUGAUGGGGUUAGCAUUAGCGAAGCUCUUGAUCGAAGCCCGAGUAAACGGCGGCCGUAACUAUAACGGUCCUAAGGUAGCGAAAUUCCUUGUCGGUUAAAUACCGACCUGCAUGAAUGGCGUAACGAGAUGGGAGCUGUCUCAAAGAGGGAUCCAGUGAAAUUGUAGUGGAGGUGAAAAUUCCUCCUACCCGCGGCAAGACGGAAAGACCCCGUGGACCUUUACUACAGCUUGACACUGCUACUUGGAUAAGAAUGUGCAGGAUAGGUGGGAGGCUUUGAGUAUAUGACGCCAGUUGUAUAUGAGCCAUUGUUGAGAUACCACUCUUUCUUAUUUGGGUAGCUAACCAGCUUGAGUUAUCCUCAAGUGGGACAAUGUCUGGUGGGUAGUUUGACUGGGGCGGUCGCCUCCCAAAUAAUAACGGAGGCUUACAAAGGUUGGCUCAGAACGGUUGGAAAUCGUUCGUAGAGUAUAAAGGUAUAAGCCAGCUUAACUGCAAGACAUACAAGUCAAGCAGAGACGAAAGUCGGUCUUAGUGAUCCGGUGGUUCUGUGUGGAAGGGCCAUCGCUCAAAGGAUAAAAGGUACCCCGGGGAUAACAGGCUGAUCUCCCCCAAGAGCUCACAUCGACGGGGAGGUUUGGCACCUCGAUGUCGGCUCAUCGCAUCCUGGGGCUGGAGCAGGUCCCAAGGGUAUGGCUGUUCGCCAUUUAAAGCGGUACGCGAGCUGGGUUCAGAACGUCGUGAGACAGUUCGGUCCCUAUCUGCCGUGGGCGUAAGAAGAUUGAAGAGAUUUGACCCUAGUACGAGAGGACCGGGUUGAACAAACCACUGGUGUAGCUGUUGUUCUGCCAAGAGCAUCGCAGCGUAGCUAAGUUUGGAAAGGAUAAACGCUGAAAGCAUCUAAGCGUGAAGCCAACUCUAAGAUGAAUCUUCUCUAAGCUCUCUAGAAGACUACUAGUUUGAUAGGCUGGGUGUGUAAUGGAUGAAAGUCCUUUAGCUGACCAGUACUAAUAGAGCGUUUGGCUUAUCUUU
rnacentral:rRNA from 1 species